rnacentral:rRNA from 1 species
GAUGAACGCUGGCGGCAGGCUUAACACAUGCAAGUCGAGCGGAGCGAGGGUGCUUGCACCUUAGCUUAGCGGCGGACGGGUGAGUAAUGCUUAGGAAUCUGCCUAUUAGUGGGGGACAACAUUCCGAAAGGGAUGCUAAUACCGCAUACGUCCUACGGGAGAAAGCAGGGGAUCUUCGGACCUUGCGCUAAUAGAUGAGCCUAAGUCGGAUUAGCUAGUUGGUGGGGUAAAGGCCUACCAAGGCGACGAUCUGUAGCGGGUCUGAGAGGAUGAUCCGCCACACUGGGACUGAGACACGGCCCAGACUCCUACGGGAGGCAGCAGUGGGGAAUAUUGGACAAUGGGGGGAACCCUGAUCCAGCCAUGCCGCGUGUGUGAAGAAGGCCUUAUGGUUGUAAAGCACUUUAAGCGAGGAGGAGGCUACUCUAGUUAAUACCUAGGGAUAGUGGACGUUACUCGCAGAAUAAGCACCGGCUAACUCUGUGCCAGCCGCCGCAGUAA